GAAUAUUGGUCAAUAGCCCAACGGCUGAACCAGCAACUUGGAGGAAUGUAUAGCGAAAGCUAAUUGUAUUAGCUGGCAAUGCUUAAUACAAUAUCGACUCUGUCGACUAAAAUUCUAGGUAAAACAAUGAUAAUGACAUUUUUUAUCUAUGUGUCUUGACCAAGUCACGUGCCAGCAGUCGCGGCAAUACGUGGAAGACUAGUGUUAUUCAUCUUUAAUAGGUUUAAAGGGUACCCAGACGGAAUAUUUAGCCCAAAAAGGGUACUAAAUAUACUAGAGUUUGAUGUGAGAGGGAGUGAAUAGUACUAAUGGUGUAGAGAUGAAAUUCGUUGAUACCGGGAGGAAACUGGCAGCGGCGAAAGCAACUCUUUAUGUAAUAACUGACGUUGAAG
rnacentral:rRNA from 1 species